rnacentral:rRNA from 1 species
UGGAUCCAGACUUUGAUUCUGGCUCAGGAUGAACGCUGGCGGCGUGCCUAACACAUGCAAGUCGAACGAAGCUUGACGGAUGAUUUCUUCGGAAUGAAACCUGAUAUGACUUAGUGGCGGACGGGUGAGUAACACGUGAGCAACCUGCCUUUCGGAGGGGGAUAACGGCUGGAAACGGUCGCUAAUACCGCAUGAUGUGUUCGGAUGGCAUCAUCUGAACAUCAAAGAUUUAUCGCUGAAAGAUGGGCUCGCGUCUGAUUAGAUAGUUGGUGGGGUAACGGCCUACCAAGUCGACGAUCAGUAGCCGGACUGAGAGGUUGAACGGCCACAUUGGGACUGAGAUACGGCCCAGACUCCUACGGGAGGCAGCAGUGGGGAAUAUUGCACAAUGGGGGAAACCCUGAUGCAGCAACGCCGCGUGAAGGAUGACGGUUUCCGGAUUGUAAACUUCUUUUCUUAGUGACGAAGACAGUGACGGUAGCUAAGGAAUAAGCAUCGGCUAACUACGUGCCAGCAGCCGCGGUAAUACGUAGGAUGCAAGCGUUAUCCGGAUUUACUGGGUGUAAAGGGAGCGCAGGCGGGACUGCAAGUUGGAUGUGAAAUACCGUGGCUUAACCACGGAACUGCAUCCAAAACUGUAGUUCUUGAGUGAAGUAGAGGCAAGCGGAAUUCCGAGUGUAGCGGUGAAAUGCGUAGAUAUUCGGAGGAACACCAGUGGCGAAGGCGGCUUGCUGGGCUUUAACUGACGCUGAGGCUCGAAAGUGUGGGGAGCAAACAGGAUUAGAUACCCUGGUAGUCCACACUGUAAACGAUGAUAGCUAGGUGUGGGGGGUCUGACCCCUUCCGUGCCGGAGUUAACGCAAUAAGCUAUCCACCUGGGGAGUACGACCGCAAGGUUGCAACUCAAAUGAAUUGACGGA